rnacentral:rRNA from 1 species
UACGUAGGUCCCAAGCGUUAUCCGGAUUUACUGGGCGUAAAGAGUCCGUAGCCGGUUUGAUAAGUCUGCUUUCAAAUACCGAAACUCAACUUCGGAAAGGGAGCAGAUACUGUUAUACUAGAGAAAGGUAGGGGUUAGUAGAAUUUCUGGUGGAGGGGUGAAAUCCGUUGAUAUCAGAAGGAAUACCGAAAGCGAAAGCAGCUAACUAUACCUUUUCUGACGGUGAGGGACGAAAGCUUGGGUAGCGAAC